AGUUUGAUCAUGGCUCACAAUGAANUGUAGGCGGCGUGCUUAACACAUGCAAGUCGAACGAGAAAGCCCCUUCGGGGGUGAGCAAAGUGGCGAACUGGUGCGUAACGCGUAAGGAUCUUCCCUGCAGUGAAGGAUACCUCCGGGAAACCGGGGCUAAUACUGCAUACGUCCCUUCGGGGAGAAAGGUGGCCUCUUGCUACCGCUGUUGGAUGAACUUGCGUACUAUUAGCUUGUUGGUGAGGUAAAGGCUCACCAAGGCGGUGAUGGUUAGCCGACCUGAGAGGGUGAUCGGCCACAUUGGGACUGAGAUACGGCCCAGACUCCUACGGGAGG
rnacentral:rRNA from 1 species